rnacentral:rRNA from 1 species
GAUGAACGCUGGCGGCGUGCCUAAUACAUGCAAGUAGAACGCUGAAGCUUGGUGCUUGCACCGAGCGGAUGAGUUGCGAACGGGUGAGUAACGCGUAGGUAACCUGCCUGGUAGCGGGGGAUAACUAUUGGAAACGAUAGCUAAUACCGCAUGACAACAGUUAUUGCAUGAUAACUGUUUAAAAGGGGCAACUGCUCCACUACCAGAUGGACCUGCGUUGUAUUAGCUAGUUGGUGGGGUAACGGCUCACCAAGGCGACGAUACAUAGCCGACCUGAGAGGGUGAUCGGCCACACUGGGACUGAGACACGGCCCAGACUCCUACGGGAGGCAGCAGUAGGGAAUCUUCGGCAAUGGACGAAAGUCUGACCGAGCAACGCCGCGUGAGUGAAGAAGGUUUUCGGAUCGUAAAGCCUACUGUUGUAAGAGAAGAACGAGUGUGAGAGUGGAAAGUUCACACCUGUGACGGUAUCUUACCAGAAA